UACGUAGGUGGCAAGCGUUGUCCGGAUUUACUGGGCGUAAAGGAUGCGUAGGCGGACAUUUAAGUCAGAUGUGAAAUACCCGAGCUUAACUUGGGUGCUGCAUUUGAAACUGGGUGUCUAGAGUGCAGGAGAGGUAAGUGGGAUUCCUAGUGUAGCGGUGAAAUGCGUAGAGAUUAGGAAGAACACCAGUGGCGAAGGCGACUUACUGGACUGUAACUGACGCUGAGGCAUGAAAGCGUGGGGAGCAAACAGG
rnacentral:rRNA from 1 species